rnacentral:rRNA from 1 species
GACGAACGCUGGCGGCGUGCCUAAUACAUGCAAGUAGAACGCUGAAGGAGGAGCUUGCUUCUCCGGAUGAGUUGCGAACGGGUGAGUAACGCGUAGGUAACCUGCCUGGUAGCGGGGGAUAACUAUUGGAAACGAUAGCUAAUACCGCAUAACAGUAGAUAUCGCAUGAUAUCUGCUUGAAAGGUGCAAUUGCAUCACUACCAGAUGGACCUGCGUUGUAUUAGCUAGUUGGUGAGGGAACGGCUCACAAAGGCGACGAUACAUAGCCGACCUGAGAGGGGGGACGGCCACACUGGGACUGAGACACGGCCCAGAAUCCUACGGGGAGCAGCAGGAGGGGAUCUUCGGGCAUGGACGGAAGGCUGAACGAGCAACGCCGCGGGAGGGAAGGAGGUUUUCGGAUCGUAAAGCUCUGUUGUAAGGGAAGAACGAGUGUGAGAGUGGAAAGUUCACACUGUGACGGUAUCUUACCAGAAAGGGACGGCUAACUACGUG